AACGAACGCUGGCGGCAGGCUUAACACAUGCAAGUCGAGCGCCCCGCAAGGGGAGCGGCAGACGGGUGAGUAACGCGUGGGAACAUACCCUUUUCUACGGAAUAACGCAUGGAAACGUGUGCUAAUACCGUAUGAGCCCUACGGGGGAAAGAUUUAUCGGGAAAGGAUUGGCCCGCGUUGGAUUAGCUAGUUGGUGGGGUAAUGGCCUACCAAGGCGACGAUCCAUAGCUGGUCUGAGAGGAUGAUCAGCCACAUUGGGACUGAGACACGGACCAAAAGCCGACGGGAGGCAGCAGUGGGGAAUAUUGGACAAUGGGCGCAAGCCUGAUCCAGCCAUGCCGCGUGGGUGAUGAAGGCCCUAGCGUUGUAAAGCUCUUUCACCGGAGAAGAUAAUGACGGUAUCCGGAGAAGAAGCCCCGGCUAACUUCGUGCCAGCCGCCGCCGCGGUAA
rnacentral:rRNA from 1 species